UACGGAGGUGGCGAGCGUUGUCCGAAGUUACUGGGCGUAAAGCGCGCGUAGGCGGGGGAUUAAGUGAGAAGUGAAAGGCUGGGGCUCAACUCCAUGCAGUGCUUCUCAUACUGGUCUUCUUGAGGGGGGUAGAGAGAAGUGGAAUGGCUGGUGUAGCGGUGAAAUGCGUAGAUAUCAGGAGGAAUACCGAUGGCGAAGGCAGGUCUCUGGGCUGACACUGACGCUCAUGCACGAAAGCGUGGGGAGCAAACAGG
rnacentral:rRNA from 1 species